ACAUCAUAGACCUGAAACAGAGCUUGUAACAGAAUUUCCAUGCCUAUUCUGUUUCUUACAGAUCCAAUAAGCAAAGUCAAAAUAAAUGAGUGUUUUCUAAGGGGGGCACAUGACUCACUCUUUCAUUGUGGAUGUCACCAAGCAUUGUGGAUGCUCGGAUCACAUCGAGGCUCUGGAAGUUGUUCCUUGCGAUUUUCACAACCUUUUCCAGGAGAAGAUAAGCUGUGGAUACCAUCAAAAUUGAUAAUUUCGAUUUGAACAAGAGAGACCUCUUAAUUAGAAGAAGUGAUAAUUCAUCAACCAGUGUGACUAUCCAAUUUAAUCUAACUUAUACCAUUAACACAUGGCAUUUCAUUUAAUCAGAUAUAACUUGCCAAAAGGGAACUUCCCCAAAGUUAGUCUUGGGGAAAGGUUUUUGUUUUUGUCUUUUAGAGAGAAUGAAGGCUAAGGAAUCUGAAGAACACUGGACAA